CUGAAAAAGACUACUUUACCCGUUGACUGACUGCUGCUAUCUACAGCAGUAAAGGUACUAAGGCAAUCGGAUAUUUGAUGUAGGCUUAUAACUACGAGGAACAGGUUGAUUGUGGUAAUAAUUAUAUGUGAAUCCGUUCAUGUCAAUUAUAAUUCAUGUUUUCUUAAAAUUCCAAGGCCGUCUCAAUAUUCGAAUACCUCAGUUUUUCUCGCCUAUGGCGUAUUAGAUUCACAAAAUCCAA
rnacentral:lncRNA from 1 species